rnacentral:rRNA from 1 species
UACAGAGGGUGCAAGCGUUGUUCGGAAUUAUUGGGCGUAAAGGGCGCGUAGGCGGUGCGGUAAGUCUGCAGUGAAAUCUCUGGGCUCAACUCAGAGUCUGCUGUGGAAACUGCCGUGCUUGAGUGUGGGAGAGGUGAGUGGAAUUCCCGGUGUAGCGGUGAAAUGCGUAGAUAUCCGGAGGAAUACCAAAGGCGAAGGCAGUGUCCUGGAGGGUGACUGACGCUGAGGCGCGAAAGCUAGGGGAGCGAACAGG